CCCCUCUUAGCUCAGCGGCUAGAGCGAUCGGCUGUAGACCGAUAGAUCCCUGGUUCAAAUCCGGGAGAGGGGA
rnacentral:tRNA from 1 species